rnacentral:rRNA from 1 species
UGUGUAGGCGGUUCUUUAAGUUUGGUGUGAAAUCUCCCGGCUUAACCGGGAGGGUGCGCCGAAUACUGAGGGACUAGAGUACGGGAGAGGAAAGUGGAAUUCCUGGUGUAGCGGUGAAAUGCGUAGAUAUCAGGAGGAACACCGGUGGUGUAGACGGCUUUCUGGACCGACACUGACGCUGAGACACGAAAGCGUGGGUAGCAAACAGGAUUAGAUACCCUGGUAGUCCACGCCCUAAACGAUGCAUAUUUGGUGUGGGCAGUUCAUUCUGUCCGUGCCGGAGCUAACGCGUUAAAUAUGCCGCCUGGGGAGUACAGUCGCAAGGCUGAA